AUUGAACGCUGGCGGCAGGCCUAACACAUGCAAGUCGAGCGGAUGAAGGGAGCUUGCUCCUGGAUUCAGCGGCGGACGGUUGAGUAAUGCCUAGGAAUCUGCCUGGUAUUGGGGGAUAACGUCCGGAAACGGGCGCUAAUACCGCAUACGUCCUGAGGGAGAAAGUGGGGGAUCUUCGGACCUCACGCUAUCAGAUGAGCCUAGGUCGGAUUAGCUAGUUGGUGGGGUAAAGGCCUAGCAAGGCGACGAUCCGUAACUGGUCUGAGAGGAUGGUUAGCCAGACUGGAACUGAGACAGGGUCCAGACUCCUACGGGGGGCAGCAGUGGGGAAUAUUGGACAAUGGACGAAAGGCUGAUCCAGCCAUGCGGCGUGUGUGAAGAAGGUCUUCGGAUUGUAAAGCAAUUUAAGUUGGGAGGAAGGGCAGUAAGUUAAUACCUUGCUGUUUUGACGUUACCAACAGAAUAAGCCCCGGCUAACUUCGUG
rnacentral:rRNA from 1 species